rnacentral:lncRNA from 1 species
CUGGAAACCUGGAGGGAAGGCCUAUUCAAAGAGUGGUUCUCCCUCCCAGAACUUGUGCAACAACAAAGGUCUUCAGCUGUGCUUACUGCCCCUGAGUCCCAGAGUUCCUGCAUCUCCUUCUCUUCCUGCCUUGGCUCCUGUUCUUGUCUCUGCUUGCCUCCUGCAUCUUGGCGCCUUGUUCUGGCUCCAUUCUCCCAGCCCAUUGGUGCUCCUGCCUCCACUUGGUCAUGACCAACUGAUCAGUGAGUGCCUUUGGACUUGAUACUCUGUGUGGGGGAGUGGUCCUGCCCCUGGCGAGAUACUGCCUGGGAUUUCUUGGACUGUGACAUCCUCACUGGAAAAAUAGUUCAGUAUGAUGAUUCAUUAGGAUAAAUUUAUGUCUUUCACCAUGUUAAUAAAGAUCCAGGAGCCAAGUCAGAAAAGAAGUUGGCAACCAUAUGGGGAGAACGAACACCGGAGGAUGAGGACAGAUCUCCAAUCCCUUUGACUCCCUCCUGUACCCUCCGGACUGACCUGAACUUCGGAGAGCUGCAUCUUGGUGGCCAGCUUGCGUCUCUCUGCAGCGCCCAAGUACUUGUGCCGCUUGAAGGAGCUCUCCAGGGUGCUGAUCUGCUCCAGGCUGAAAGCGAUCUGCAAGCUACAACAAUAUUGAUCACUCUGAGCCUGAUUGCUUGGAAGCAGAGAAAUAUCGAUCCAAGAUCUU